UGAGGAAUAUUGGGCAAUGGACGAGAGUCUGACCCAGCCAUGCCGCGUGAAGGAUGAAGGCGUUCUGCGUUGUAAACUUCUUUUACCAGGGAAGAAACCGAUUUUUUCUAGAGUCGUUGACGGUACCUGGGGAAUAAGCACCGGCUAACUCCGUGCCAGCAGCCGCGGUAAUACGGAGGGUGCAAGCGUUAUCCGGAUUUACUGGGUUUAAAGGGUGUGUAGGCGGCUUUGUAAGUCAGGGGUGAAAUCCCGGGGCUCAACCCCGGAACUGCCUUUGAUACUAUAGAGCUUGAAUUAUGUUGAGGUUGGCGGAAUAUAACAUGUAGCGGUGAAAUGCAUAGAUAUGUUAUAGAACACCGAUUGCGAAGGCAGCUGACUAAACAUAUAUUGACGCUGAGGCACGAAAGCGUGGGGAUCAAACA
rnacentral:rRNA from 1 species